rnacentral:rRNA from 1 species
AACGAACGCUGGCGGCAUGCCUAACACAUGCAAGUCGAACGAGACCUUCGGGUCUAGUGGCGCACGGGUGCGUAACGCGUGGGAACCUGCCUUUAGGUUCGGAAUAACUCAGAGAAAUUUGAGCUAAUACCGGAUGAUGUCUUCGGACCAAAGAUUUAUCGCCUUUAGAUGGGCCCGCGUUGGAUUAGCUAGUUGGUGGGGUAAAGGCCUACCAAGGCGACGAUCCAUAGCUGGUCUGAGAGGAUGAUCAGCCACACUGGGACUGAGACACGGCCCAGACUCCUACGGGAGGCAGCAGUGGGGAAUAUUGGACAAUGGGCGAAAGCCUGAUCCAGCAAUGCCGGGGGAGUGAUGAAGGCCUUAGGGUUGUAAAGCUCUUUUCCCCGAGAUGAUAAUGACAGUAUCGGGAGAAAAAGCCCCGGCUAACUCCUU